rnacentral:rRNA from 1 species
AUAUCCUACGGGGGGCAGCAGUGGGGAAUAUUGCACAAUGGGGGAAACCCUGAUGCAGCAACGCCGCGUGAAGGAAGACGGUUUUCGGAUUGUAAACUUCUGUUCUUAGUGAAGAAUAAUGACGGUAGCUAAGGAGGAAGCUCCGGCUAACUACGUGCCAGCAGCCGCGGUAAUACGUAGGGAGCAAGCGUUGUCCGGAAUUACUGGGUGUAAAGGGAGCGUAGGCGGGAUAGUAAGUUGAUUGUUAAAACUAUCGGCUCAACUGGUAGAUGCGAUCAAAACUGCAAUUCUUGAGUGAAGAAGAG